UCUACUACACCUUGUUAACCGCAUUUAUUCUAUGGUACUUUCUUCUGUGCUCCUUUGGGAUCAGUUGACCACAUUUGAUCACAGGAACAUGUACUCCGGAGUAUCUCUAGCCAUCCUUGUUGUGUCMGCCUGCGAAAGCAUUGUCUAUGGUGUCUGCACCACGCGGACUGCACUCAGGCAGCGUCUCGUCUGAUAGAGAACAUGGAUGCCAAUGUGGACCCGUGUGACAACUUCUAC